AUUGAACGCUGGCGGCAGGCCUAACACAUGCAAGUCGAACGAGUGGCGGACGGGUGAGUAAUGUCUGGGAACCUGCCCGAUGGAGGGGGAUAACUACUGGAAACGGUAGCUAAUACCGCAUACUAUCGGAUGUGCCCAUAUGGGAUUAGCUAGUAGGUGGGGUAAAGGCUCACCUAGGCGACGAUCCCUAUCUGGUUUGAGAGGAUGAACAGCCACACUGGGACUGAGACACGGCCCAGACUCCUACGGGAGGCAGCAGGGGGGAAUAUUGCACAAUGGGCGCAAGCCUGAUGCAGCCAUGCCGCGUGUAUGAAGAAGGCCUUCGGGUUGUAAAGGACUUUCGGCGGGGAGGUGGUAUCCGCAGAAGAAGCACCGGCUAACUCCGUGCCAGCAGCCGCGGUAAUUC
rnacentral:rRNA from 1 species